UCUUCCCAGUGCACCAGGCCUGAGCACUUGUCAUAUUUUGCUGUAUAUCAGAAAGUUGGCUGGAAACUUGUGUUGAUCAAAACCGAGCACUAAAAUAGAUUAUUUCUUUCCAUUAAAUCUCUUAAAUAUGUACAACGUGCUGCUAUGUUAUAGUAACAACUUCACCCUCACCCUUGAAAUGUUUUCUUUAAAUCAGUGGGUUUGAUGUGUUCUGGAUAUUUAUCUCUUUGAAUUUUAGAUACAUGUAAUUGCAGAUAGCACCAGGAAUUAGAUCUCUGUGCAUUCUUUUUUUUUUUUUUUUAUUGCAUUCUUAACCUGGCUGAGUAAGCUUUACCAGUUUAUGGCUGCCCACUUGCCUCAUAUAUAAAGUGAGGAAAUGGGUCUGCUAAUUAAGCUUCUAAUUCCUUUUGUUCUGUGCAGCAUUUUCAAAAAUCUCUUUCUGAGGAUAAUACCUGUUUGGGCAGCCAGCCAUUGCGUUUGUUUAUACUCUGAAUUUUGCAUGCUUGUCUGACUUAGUAUUUCUGAAUUGUUUUUUUAAAAGGUAUAAUGUGUUGAUUUUCACUGAAAUCAGGAUUCUGUCACUACUUGUGUAAAUUAACCUGAAGUGUAACCUUCACGGUAACUGGGACGAUAUGCUUAUAUAAGUGUUCCCUUUUGCUUUCAUCGCCAGUGUACUUCCUUAAUCCCCUACCAACCCUUAUCUUGUACGAGAAUAAGGUGAAACUUUGUGGCUGAAGACUUGAAUGAAGAUAAUGGGACCUUUUAUUCUCAAAACAGGUCAUUAUUACCUGCAGCCACAGACUCAAUAUUAGACCUAAGAAUAAAGAUCCUAGGUAUAAAAAAAAAUAAAUGAAUGUGAGGGAUAAACCUAAGAAUUGGUAUAGUUUGUACAAACCCACAUGUUUAUUUUUCUCCAAAAAAGUUAUUUUUCUACAAGAGAUAAUGUAUGCUUUUGGGGGUAAAAGGCAGUACAUAGUAAAUAUUUCUAAAGCAUCUGGAAAAAGCUGUCUAGUUUAAUACCCCACUCCCUCAUCUGUUUAAGGCAGUUUAACAUGGUUUAAACCAGUUGCAUUUUCCACAAUGUUUUUAGUUGUUUUUUAUUUGACAUUAAAAUGACUGAAUUCUCCAAGCAGAAAAUGAGAACCCUGAAAUAGAGGCAGAAUAAUAAGUGUUACUUCUGUUCCAUCAAACAUAGAAUUUAAAUACACAAUUAAACUGCUCCUGUUUAUGUGCUUUACCAUUAAAAUCUUCUUACCCCAUACAAAAAUCGAAAUUACCUGAUAGAAAAUAACCAAUUUGAGACUGAAUGAAAUGAGCCUGGUGGUCCCAGGGACAAGCACAUUUAGCCAAGGAGUGUCAGUAAAAUCCAUUUUUAUGUGUAAUUUUGAAAGUAAGCCUUUAGGUCAGCACUGAGUUUGUGCUUGUGCCGAGAACUAAACAAAUGUGGCCAAGAGAACAACUCUAGCAUAAUGCUUUCAGUGCUUCAUACUUCAGCCCCAUCUGUUUAAACAUUUCUGCAGUGGUGCCCAGAACAGCUUGUUGGUAGCAUGUGAGGCACUUUCAAGGGGCAAAUUUUUCUAAGGGCCAAAUCAGCUUUAAAAUAUUCAGAAGGAAAAUGGGAUGGUUUUCUAAGCUCUUGCUACUUGAAGCGUUGUUCACAGAUAAGCACCGACCUAUCCUGGAAGUCAUUUCAUCUGGAAGAGAUGCAGAAUCUUGGGCCCCAUUCCAAACUACUGAAUCAAAAUGUCACUUCAUUUUAUCAAGACCUCCAGGUUCUGAGGACUGUGCUGAUGAAUUACCACAUGGAAACCACACAGACUCCCUGGCACCCCUCCGCCCCCCAUCCCCACUGGAGACAGUGAGGAGCAGAGGGAGGAGUCCGGGCUCUGAAGCAAGAUGUGCUGAUAAACAAGCUAAGUGCUGCCUCCUUAACGACACCGGAUAGACACAGAAGCUGCAGUGUGAGGGGUCACAGUGUACAGGCCUCAACUUGCAAGCUCGGCUACCUGUCUUUGAAGUCUAGCUGUGUCACCGAAGAGUUGUGUAACCUCAGGCAAGUUAACCCCCCGUGACUCAGUCUUCUCCUCUACGAAGUGGGAGUGGACACAACCCCCUAUCUUACAGGGUUGUGGUGGGACACCACCUGUAAACUAUGGUGCCUGGUACAGAAAGAGCAUGGUGUGCACUGACUACUACUACUAAAUGAGUGACUCAAUAUAUAAGAGAAGUUUUAAAGUUCAAAUUGUGCUACAAAGCAACAAGAAAAUUCUCAAAAACAAGUCUACAAAUGCCCAAACUUCAGAAAUGAUACAAUUUGGUUCUUGUGUGAGAAUGGUGUGUUACUGCUUUCUAUGGGAUGUUAUGUUGGUCAUGGGCCAGUCCUUGGUCUCAUGAGGACUUUCGUUGUCAUUGAUCCUAUCCAUCUUUCCCUCUGGCAUUUGAUAUAUCUUUGCCAAAUCCUUGAAACGGCUGAUGCAGUCAUUUCCUUCCUUAAAGGCCACGGCAUGGGGUGAUGACCACUAAGAUCAGUCAAUAAGAUAAUCUGACUGGUGCACCCACAGCCACCUCCUUAGCCUCAAAUUGGAGACUGCAUCUAUGCAUUUUGUCCAUGGUGAGUUAAAAAUGAAUGUAUCUUGCUCUUACACUGCUAUGUGACAUUUCAGAAUUCAACAGUACAUAAUUAUAGAAAAGUGUUCCAAACUACCAGUUUCUUUGAAUACCACACUUCACAAUAAUUCAGAGCCCUAAGGAUCUUUAUCAGUUAUUUUCAAAUGAUUUCUUGAAGGAAGGCUGGCAUCUCAACAAUGCAUGACUUUUCUCAACUGCUCCGAAAACUGCAUUCAGAUUCACUCCAAGGCUACUAAGCUUGCAUCAAAGAAUUCAGCCUUACAGCAAAAAAAACAGCCUUUUCAAUAAAAGUGAUAAAAAUAACUUAAAUUUCCAAGGUGCCCUUUUCUGAAAAACUCAUAAAGCCUUUACAUGAUUUGGUGAAAGGAUGUUCAUCCAGAAGAGAUGGCAUGUGAUUGAUAAAGUUUCUCAAAGUUUAAAUAUAUUUCUGAAUAUCUUUCUCAUCUGCUGCAGCUGUAUUUUCAGAUGCAACUCAUUUCAAUUUAACUUAUUAUGACACACGUUUGUUUUGUUUUGCUUUUUUAAAAAAACACAAACAGUAAGAGUUGAGUUCCUUUUCUUAGUUCUCUAUGGUUCAAUCUCUCUGGAUAACAGUUUGUUCCCAAGUCCUUUCAUCUUGUUCAGCCACCCUCUGCUUCAUCCUUCUCCUUCACUGUGGGGGUGUCCCCAGUGGGCACUGGUGAACGGACACAGUGUUGAUCCACCAAGACUCUGGGCCCCCAUUAACAGCCUUACUUUUUAAUAGAGUGUCAUAUUCCACUACCCAGCGUUCAGAUCUCUGAGCUUGGCUUUUCCAGGAAGCUAAAUCUCUAACUUCCUCCCAUUGUGUGAUGGUUAAGACUCUUACCUGUAUUUUUGGUCCAUCUCAGUGCCUCACACAUAGAUUUGUGAUGCUACCAAAUCAACUGAGAUCCCUAUACCCCGGAGUUUUCAACUUCUCAAUGUUUUUCAACAUUUCUUUAAUUUCAUCUGCAUUAUUCAAAAUUGCCAAUUCUUCUUUAAAUGUGUAAUAUGAAAAUGUUUUUCAGAAUCUUUAUUUUUUCUAAUAAUAUAUGUAACAUAUGUUCACUGUAAAUAAAAUUUAAAUAUCUAUAUGUAAUUCCAUCUCAAGGAAAUGAACGAUGUGCAUACAUUUUUUCAGUUUUGCUUUUGAUUUUUUAAAAAAGAUCAAAAUUGGGAUCAUACUUGACUCGAAUGAAGUUUAAGAAAAAUCAGAACUUUUUCUUAAAGUGCACUGGAUGUUGCCCAAGUAUUUACAGAUUUUCUAUUGAUUUAAGAAAUUUCAUAUAAUUUUGUGAAUAUUUCCCAAAGUGUUAUUACUUUAA